UCCUGUCUGGCUCAGUUGGUAGAGCAUGGAGCUUGCAACGCCAGGGUUAUGGGUUCCAUUCCUGCGGGGGGAC
rnacentral:tRNA from 1 species